rnacentral:rRNA from 1 species
AACGAACGCUGGCGGCGUGGAUUAGGCAUGCAAGUCGAGCGAGAAAGGGGUAGCAAUACCCUGAGUAAAGCGGCAAACUGGUGAGUAACAGGUGGGCAACGUACCCCGAAGUUGGGGAUAACUCCAAGAAAUCGGGACUAAUACCGAAUGUGGCGUCUUGGACCUUGGUUCGAGGCGCUAAAGGCUUCGGUCGCUUUGGGAUCGGCCCGCCCCUGAUUAGCUAGUUGGUGAGGUAACGGCUCACCAAGGCGACGAUCAGUAGCUGGUCUGAGAGGAUGGUCAGCCACACUGGAACUGAGAUACGGUCCAGACUCCGUACGGGGGGA